rnacentral:lncRNA from 1 species
UUUAGAACUUUUAGUAGAAAUAUAUUAAUAAUACGUGUAAUAGGAAGCAUAUAGCUAUUUUGCCAAGUGGUAUUGAUUCAGAAGUGAUGUGGACUGUGUUCCUGACGAGUAAAUAUUUUGUACGUCUUCAUAGUGCUCCAUUAGAGAAUUACAAGACAACCUUUUGCGUUCUCAGCUUUGCGUUUAAAAAUACGCCUUGAUGGUUUGGUUAACAGUGGAUUCUCUGCUAUUAAUUUGUUAUCUUUAUUUUUCUUGGCUUUAUUAAGGAUAAUAACCUAAUGUGAAUGUUCAGAUUUUGCUGUCCAGACAUGUUUGGGGUUUGUUUUUAGCCUAAAGUCUUGGCCUUUCACAUAGACUUAAGGCUACUUAUAAACCUUAGCCCCUUCCCCAACCCAUUAUUGGCUAUUUUUAUUCAUUCUCAUGAUUAAGUAUUAUUAAAUUAAUGGAAUAAAAAUGCCUGCCAUUUUUCCAUUUUACAAAUUCUCAUAAAAUGGUCUGAGUGUUAAUAGGAAAGGCAUUGUGUUUAUAUAGUUUUUGGUAGUCUUUUUCUUUGAUUUCUUUUGAACUCUGUACUUCUUAAGAACAUCAGUCUUAUAUGUUUAAUUUAAAUGUGUGGCUUCAGAGGAGCACCAUAGAUAAGAGCUGUCAUAGUUAAGGAAUAGUCAGUACUUACAUUGAUGAAAUAAUAAAUUACCAGUCAUACCUUUU